AUUCAGCUGUCAAUCACAUUACCAUACAGCUUUACCUACACGGAGACCAUAUGACUGGCUUAUAUUUAUCCCAUAUUCAUUGUUUCAGAUUGACUGUUUGCAGAUGAAUUUUGCAAAGAGAGAAACAACAGAUGCAACAGAGAAAUGGAAGCUGUCAAGGCAUUUCUGGUGCCUGAAAGUGACAAUCAUUCCAGCAAGUCCUCAUUUUAAACCUCUGUGGUGGCAGGCAGAGAAAUUCUCUCACACAUGCAUCUGAAACAUUCAAAGAUCUCUGGCUCAACCACAGAAGCCUGAGUUCCCAGCUUCAGAAAAAGAAGAGCCAUUCCACUGCUGCUCUCCCUUUUUCCCCUCCCUGUCUUGCAAGUGUUGUUAUGCCCUUGUCCUGACUGCAUGCCCUGAAUACCAAUAUCAG